CCUACGGAGCUCAGGGCAUCGCCGCCUGAGGUACACCUGUGAGGCUGUGAGUUUCUCCGACACACCUGGCAAGGGGCCCACGAAGGCCAGAUUCUGUCAAGUGGAUUCUGGGGAAAAAGUGUGAAAACAAGUUCAAAUGAAAGAACUGUUUCCUACAUGAGACACUUUUCCUCCCACCUCUCCUCUACAACCUGUAGCUUUAAGUGAAAUUAAUACUGGACAGACCAUCAAUCGUUAUCUGUGGGCACGAGGAAACAGGUAAA